GGACAGGAAACGGGGGCAAAUGUGAUGUAAUCACAGCUGCAAAGCCUCUUCGCAUAUUCACAGGUUAUGGGGAUAGAAUAUGCGCAUCUUUGGGGCGAAGUUCAUCCAACCGCAGGAACCUGCUCCCGAAGGCCCCUGGCAUGUUCUCGGAGCUCCCCGUGGCUGCGUGAGGGUGGGAAGGCGGAAGCAGCUCUUGAAGGACCUAGACCACACCGAGGAAUGGAAUCACCUCUUUAUAGGGUCCAAGGGGACUGGUUUUGGAAAGCAUGGGUGACCUCAUUCCCGCCCGGGACACACGGGGAGACACUUUCCCAGGUGCUUCCUCAGAAGUUGUCCUUGCUCUUGAAAGAACGAACAACUAUCUGGAAUGGAAGUUGUUUUUUCUGCUAUCCUGAGGAUGAUGUCAACACCACGGAUGGCAGAAAAGAGCUGUAAAGAAGAUAGGGCUUCGGAUGUUCUGCGAGAAAUGAUCAUUGUUGCACUGUAGGCUAACUUGGAUGUAAAUUUAAAAUAAAUAAAUAAAUAAAUAAAACAAAACACAAAACAAACCAAAAAAUUACAAACAAAAAAGGAACUCUCCCUAACUGACGUACCAAGAACCGGCUGUAGGUUUUCUGAGCUGCGCCGCGGUUGUGAGUAGGUAGAAAAGCUGAAGCCUGCUUUCUCUCCGCUCCACGUAACAAGCAAUCCCCGUGGGCAGGCUUG
rnacentral:lncRNA from 1 species